GCCUGGGUGGCUCAGUCGGUUAAGCGUCUGACUUCAGCUCAGGUCACGAUCUCACGGUCUGUGAGUUCGAGCCCCACGUCAGGCU
rnacentral:tRNA from 1 species